rnacentral:rRNA from 1 species
GCGCCGAAAAUGUACCGGGGCUAAACAUAUUACCGAAGCUGUGGAUUGUCCUUUGGACAAUGGUAGGAGAGCGUUCUAAGGGCGUCGAAGCAUGAUCGCAAGGACAUGUGGAGCGCUUAGAAGUGAGAAUGCCGGUGUGAGUAGCGAAAGACGGGUGAGAAUCCCGUCCACCGAUUGACUAAGGUUUCCAGAGGAAGGCUCGUCCGCUCUGGGUUAGUCGGGUCCUAAGCUGAGGCCGACAGGCGUAGGCGAUGGAUAACAGGUUGAUAUUCCUGUACCACCUAGUAUCGUUUUAAUCGAUGGGGGGACGCAGUAGGAUAGGCGAAGCGUGCUGUUGGAGUGCACGUCCAAGCAGUAAGGCUGAGUGUUAGGCAAAUCCGGCACUCAUAAGGCUGAGCUGUGAUGGGGAGAGGAAAUUGUUUCCUCGAGUCGUUGAUUUCACACUGCCGAGAAAAGCCUCUAGAUAGAUAACAGGUGCCCGUACCGCAAACCGACACAGGUAGUCAAGAUGAGAAUUCUAAGGUGAGCGAGCGAACUCUCGUUAAGGAACUCGGCAAAAUGACCCCGUAACUUCGGGAGAAGGGGUGCUCUUUAGGGUUCACGCCCAGAAGAGCCGCAGUGAAUAGGCCCAAGCGACUGUUUAUCAAAAACACAGGUCUCUGCUAAACCGUAAGGUGAUGUAUAGGGGCUGACGCCUGCCCGGUGCUGGAAGGUUAAGAGGAGUGGUUAGCUUCUGCGAAGCUACGAAUCGAAGCCCCAGUAAACGGCGGCCGUAACUAUAACGGUCCUAAGGUAGCGAAAUUCCUUGUCGGGUAAGUUCCGACCCGCACGAAAGGCGUAACGAUUUGGGCACUGUCUCAACGAGAGACUCGGUGAAAUCAUAGUACCUGUGAAGAUGCAGGUUACCCGCGACAGGACGGAAAGACCCCGUGGAGCUUUACUGUAGCCUGAUAUUGAAAUUCGGCACAGCUUGUACAGGAUAGGUAGGAGCCUUUGAAACGUGAGCGCUAGCUUACGUGGAGGCGUUGGUGGGAUACUACCCUAGCUGUGUUGGCUUUCUAACCCGCACCACUUAUCGUGGUGGGAGACAGUGUCAGGCGGGCAGUUUGACUGGGGCGGUCGCCUCCUAAAAGGUAACGGAGGCGCUCAAAGGUUCCCUCAGAAUGGUUGGAAAUCAUUCAUAGAGUGUAAAGGCAUAAGGGAGCUUGACUGCGAGACCUACAAGUCGAGCAGGGUCGAAAGACGGACUUAGUGAUCCGGUGGUUCCGCAUGGAAGGGCCAUCGCUCAACGGAUAAAAGCUACCCCGGGGAUAACAGGCUUAUCUCCCCCAAGAGUUCACAUCGACGGGGAGGUUUGGCACCUCGAUGUCGGCUCAUCGCAUCCUGGGGCUGUAGUCGGUCCCAAGGGUUGGGCUGUUCGCCCAUUAAAGCGGUACGCUAGCUGGGUUCAGAACGUCGUGAGACAGUUCGGUCCCUAUCCGUCGUGGGCGUAGGAAAUUUGAGAGGAGCUGUCCUUAGUACGAGAGGACCGGGAUGGACAUACCUCUGGUGUACCAGUUGUCGUGCCAACGGCAUAGCUGGGUAGCUAUGUAUGGACGGGAUAAGUGCUGAAAGCAUCUAAGCAUGAAGCCCCCCUCAAGAUGAGAUUUCCCAACUUCGGUUAUAAGAUCCCUCGAAGAUGACGAGGUUAAUAGGUUCGAGGUGGAAGCGUGGUGACACGUGGAGCUGACGAAUACUAAUCGAUCGAAGACUUAAUCAAUUUUUAAA